rnacentral:rRNA from 1 species
UGGGGAAUAUUGCACAAUGGGGGGAACCCUGAUGCAGCCAUGCCGCGUGAAUGAAGAAGGCCUUCGGGUUGUAAAGUUCUUUCGGUGACGAGGAAGGUUGGUAUGUUAAUAGCAUAUCAAAUUGACGUUAAUCACAGAAGAAGCACCGGCUAACUCCGUGCCAGCAGCCGCGGUAAUACGGGGGGUGCGAGCGUUAAUCGGAAUAACUGGGCGUAAAGGGCACGCAGGCGGUGACUUAAGUGAGAUGUGAAAGCCCCGGGCUUAACCUGGGAAUUGCAUUUCAUACUGGGUCGCUAGAGUACUUUAGGGAGGGGUAGAAUUCCACGUGUAGCGGUGAAAUGCGUAGAGAUGUGGAGGAAUACCGAAGGCGAAGGCAGCCCCUUGGGAAUGUACUGACGCUCAUGUGCGAAAGCGUGGGGAGCAAACAGGAUUAGAUACCCUGGUAGUCCACGCUGUAAACGAUGUCGAUUUGGGGAUUGGGCUUUAAGCUUGGUGCCCGUAGCUAACGUGAUAAAUCGACCGCCUGGGGAGUACGGCCGCAAGGUUA